UACGGAAGGCAGCAGUGGGGAAUAUUGCACAAUGGGCGAAAGCCUGAUGCAGCUAUGCCGCGUGUAUGAAGAAGGCCUUAGGGUUGUAAAGUACUUUCAUCGGGGAGGAAAAAACAAAACUAAUAAUUUUAUUUCUUGACGUUACCCGAAAAAGAAGCACCGGCUAACUCCGUGCCAGCAGCCGCGGUAAUACGGAGGGUGCUAGCGUUAAUCAGAAUUACUGGGCGUAAAGAGCACGUAGGUGGUUUUUUUAAAGUCAGAUGUGAAAUCCCUGGGCUUAACCUAGGAACUGCAUUUUGAAACUGAAAUACUAGAGUAUCGUAGAGGGAGGUAGAAUUCUAGGUGUAGCGGUGAAAUGCGUAGAUAUCUGGAGGAAUACCUGUGGCGAAAGCGGCCUCCUAAACGAAUACUGACACUGAGGUGCGAAAAGCGUGGGGAGCAAAACAGGGAAUUAGAUACC
rnacentral:rRNA from 1 species